UCCUCCUCCUCCUCCUCCUCGUGUCAAAGUGGGUGCCAAUCAAUGUUUACAACCUCGGUUAAAAGAUGGAGCAGAAGUGUCCACGAAAAAGAGAAAUAAAACACCAUGAGAGUGAAUUGCGGGAGCAGCAAUCAGAGAGACACUGGAGAGGGGCUAAAGAGCCACAUGUGGCUCCGGAGCCGCAGGUUGCAGACCCCUGAUCUAUGUCAACCAGUAAUAUAAAAUGCAUGGAUUCGGCUUAGAGUCACCAGAUAACACGGUCACUCGUUAAACACCUGUGCAUUGAGGAACAGAAGCCUGAGGAGCAGGAGGAAGAAGUACAGCUAUCACCCUUAACCAAGUCCUACUCCUGCGGCAGUUUCUCCUCAACAACUGUGUGUUCAACACCAAGCCCUGUCGUCUCCGGCUGUGACCAUCAAAAGUUCCUCUGUGCUGUUCUUCACAUCUUCCUGGCCGGUGAUGGCGUCCUCUUUCCUCGUGGUGCUCGGCGAGGAGCUGCUCUUUGAAGAUUCCUCGUUGACCUGGAGACCCUGGAUGGUGUUCUG